rnacentral:tmRNA from 1 species
GGGGGUGUUUUGGUUUUGACAGCGCCGAUGCUGGAUGGUAAGCAUGCCGGGCGUGGAGGCCUUGCCCGUAAAUCUCAGACCUCGAACAAUCAGUUGCCAACAACAACUAUGCACUCGCUGCUUAAUUUGCCAAGCAAAUUAGCUUAAUCCGUCCCGCCAAGGCUGCGGGGCCGACGAGUAUCCCUCGGAACUUCCGCCUCAUAAGGGCCGAUCAAGGGGUAUCAUCCAUUUGAGGCUGCUCCGGUGGACGCCUUUAAAGCCGGCUAAGAUUUAAAGGCUAAGGGACGCUUCGCCCGCCUUCCGGCAGGGCUUCCCCUACAACCAAAGGAAGGAUAAGCAUGUAGAAAGCCGCCUGGUGCGACGUUUGGACAGCGGUUCGAGUCCGCUCACCUCCACU